rnacentral:rRNA from 1 species
ACGUAUGGUGCAAGCGUUAUCCGGAUUUACUGGGUGUAAAGGGAGCGUAGACGGAGUGGCAAGUCUGAUGUGAAAACCCGGGGCUCAACCCCGGGACUGCAUUGGAAACUGUCAAUCUAGAGUACCGGAGAGGUAAGCGGAAUUCCUAGUGUAGCGGUGAAAUGCGUAGAUAUUAGGAGGAACACCAGUGGCGAAGGCGGAUUACUGGACGGUAACUGACGUUGAGGCUCGAAAGCGUGGGGAGCAAACAG